UACGUAGGGGGCGAGCGUUGUCCGGAUUUUUUGGGCGUAAAGAGCGUGUAGGCGGUUCGGUAAGUCUGUCGUUAAAUCCUGAGGCUCAACCUCGGGCGUGCGAUGGAUACUGCCGGGCUAGAGGAUGGUAGAGGCGAGUGGAAUUCCCGGUGUAGCGGUGAAAUGCGCAGAUAUCGGGAGGAACACCGAUUGCGAAGGCAGCUCGCUGGGACGUAACUGACGCUGAGACGCGAAAGCGUGGGGAGCAAACAGG
rnacentral:rRNA from 1 species